CCUACGGGACGCAGCAGUGGGGAAUAUUGCACAAUGGGGGAAACCCUGAUGCAGCAACGCCGCGUGAGUGAAGAAGUCAUUCGUGAUGUAAAGCUCUAUCAGCAGGGAAGAAAAUGACGGUACCUGAGUAAGAAGCCCCGGCUAACUACGUGCCAGCAGCCGCGGUAAUACGUAGGUGGCAAGCGUUGUUCGGAAUAACUGGGCGUAAAGGAUGCGUAGGCGGUUAAACAAGUUAUAUGUUAAAUAUAUAGGCUUAACCUGUAGAAAGCAUAUAAAACUGUUUAACUAGAGUGCAGGAGAGGUAA
rnacentral:rRNA from 1 species